AUUGAACGCUGGCGGUAUGCUUAACACAUGCAAGUCGAACGGUAACAGGCCUUCGGGCGCUGACGAGUGGCGGACGGGUGAGUAACGCGUAGGAAUCUGCCUCAUAGUGGGGACAACGUGGGGAAACUCACGCUAAUACCGCAUACGCCCUACGGGGGAAAGCGGGGGAUCUUCGGACCUCGCGCUAUGAGAUGAGCCUGCGUUAGAUUAGCUAGUUGGUAGGGUAAAGGCCUACCAAGGCGACGAUCUAUAGCUGGUCUGAGAGGACGAUCAGCCACACUGGGACUGAGACACGGCCCAGACUCCUACGGGAGGCAGCAGUGGGGAAUAUUGGACAAUGGGCGCAAGCCUGAUCCAGCAAUACCGCGUGUGUGAAGAAGGCCCUAGGUGUAAAGCACUUUCAAUUGGGAGGAAAACC
rnacentral:rRNA from 1 species